UCGGCUGUCCGUCAGGUGACUUUACGCAACGAGGGGCUAAUUAACGUCCGACACAGGUACGCGGUUUCUUCGCCGGCUCGCCGCGGAAAACUUGCCCUGAACUCCCGCUUUCCCGCCUUGACUCAUCGCCCAAAGGCUCUGGCGCAGAAUAGGACCCUUUUCGUCUCUCUGAGUUUAUUCUGAAGACAAGAUGAAGCCUCUGGUUCCUUAUUUUCUGGCAGGUUUUUUUAUUUUAAGUGGCAUACAAGACAGUGUUGAAACGGAGGAAUGCAUCUUUAAAAAACUGGACAGGGAGGACAACAUGUUUUGUAGAGGGGAUCUAGAAAUUUUGUAUCCAGAAUUGGGAGAUGUUGGCUGUACAUAUAUUCCAAAGUGCAGUGCAUAUCGUAAACGUAUCAGCAAGGAAUGGAUCAACCCCAAAGUCAGAUAUCAGCAGGCAGAUGUG